AGGAUAAACGCUGGCGGCGUGCCUAACACAUGCAAGUCGAACGCCCUCGGGUAACUGAGGGAGUGGCGGACGGGUGAGGAACACGUGGGUAUCUGCCCUGGGGUGAGGAAUACCGGCGAGAAAUCGCCGACAAUACCGCAUAGCCUCGGAAACGAGGAAAGUCGCAAGACGCCACAGGAUGAGCCUGCGCCCGAUUAGCUGGUUGGUGGGGUAAAAAGCCUACCAAGGCAACGAUCGGUAGCUGGUCUGAGAGGACGAUCAGCCACACUGGGAUUGAGAACGGCCCAGACUCCUACGGGGGGCAGCAGUGAGGAAUUUUCGUCAAUGGGGGGCAACCCUGAACGAGCAACGCCGCGUGCAGGAAGAAGGUUUUCGGAUCGUAAAACUGCUUUUUCUGUGGGAAGAGAACGGACGGUACCACAGGAAGAAGCCCCGGGCUAAACUACGUGCCAGCAGCCGC
rnacentral:rRNA from 1 species